AUUGAACGCUGGCGGCAGGCCUAACACAUGCAAGUCGAGCGAGCGUCGAACGUGUGAGUAAUGUCUGGGAAACUGCCUGAUGGAGGGGGCUAACUACUGGAGACGGUAGCUGAUACCGCAUGCAAUCAGCUGUGCACAGAUGGGAUUAGCUAGUAGGUUGGGUAACGGCUGACCUAGGCGACGAUCCAUAGCUGGUCUGAGAGGAGGACCAGCCACACUGGAACUGAGACACGGCCCAGACUCCUACGGGAGGCAGCAGUGGGGAAUAUUGCACAAUGGGCGCAAGCCUGAUGCAGCCAUGCCGCGUGUAUGAAGAAGGCCUUCGGGUUGUAAAGUACUUUCAGCGGGGAGGCGUUACCCGAAGAAGAAGCACCGGCUAACUACGUGCCAGCAGCCGCGGUAAUUC
rnacentral:rRNA from 1 species